rnacentral:lncRNA from 1 species
ACAGCAUGUGGCAGACAUGUGUGAGCAUGUGUGUGUGUUCAUUACCUGUGUGUUCAUGAGCUUUGGCUGGUACAGCAAGUGGCAGCAGAGGGAAAGGAGCCUCCGGGAAGGAGGAAGUCAAGUGUUGCAGAAACCAGGGCUGACUCACCGACGCCCAACUCACAAAGAAGCUCUCCAAAGCCCUUGGGUGAGCUGGGUUCUGAUGUGUUCCCGGAGGAGAGGGAGUGAGAAGGCUGGAGAGAUGGCUGUGGUUAUUAAGAACACCUUGCAGAGGACCAAGUUCAGUUCCUGACACCAAUGUCUGGCAAUUCACAACCACAAGGAACUCCAGCUCCAGGGAAACUGGUCUUCAUGGGAAUUUGCACUCACAGGCAUAUACCUGCCCUACACACAUGAACACAACUGAAGCUGGGUGAGCUGCAAAACUGGAACUUUGUCAGCAGAGAGCCGGUUUGGAGGAGGCGAGAAGGGAAGAAAGGUCAGGAGAGCGUGGUUGAACCUGUACAGAGCCUGUGCAGACUCCUGCUCGGAGCGAGUGGUGGCCCUCGGGCUGGCACACAGCUGCAGCAGACACAAUUCACAGUCUAGGGAGGGGAGACAGACAGCUAGCAGACAAACCCUCAAGGGACCGGUGCAGGGCAGGGACGAUGGCUCAGUGGGUAACCCACUUGCUUCACAAGCGUGAGGAUUUCAGAACUUAGGGAGGCCGGGUUCGAGCUUGUCUGUGAUCUCAGUUUUCCUUUGAUGAGACCAAAGGCCAGCCUUUGAUGACAUACUGCAAGGCCAGCCUGGGCUACCUGGGACUGUCUCAAAGAACCAACCAAAGAAGUGCCAAAAGCAAGAAGGAAAGAAAAAAAAAAUCACCUUUCCCCUGCCCCAUGGCACCCAGAGCAAGGGUGGUCAGGGGCUCCGAUCUGGAACUUUGAAUGAUGAGGGCGUGCCCCGGAGAUACAGCAUCAUUUGGAAGUGAUUGGGAUGGCUGUGGUGGAGCCUGGAGUACCGAGAGAUAAAUGUUCCCAAGCAACAGGGACCAACAUCCACUGACUUCUGGCUGCUGCGUUUCUGGGGAGAUGGUAAAAGGCAGGAUCCACAGCAUGCCAUUUUGGAGUUUGUUGCCAACGCCAUCCUCCGUACCUGAUUCUCCCUUCUGGUCUUCCUCUUGGUUCCCGGAGUUCCUGAAUCACCCUUUUUAGACAUCAUCUCUGUCUCCUGUAGCACGGGCUGGGCUUGAACUUGCUAUGUAGCCAAGGACGGCUUCGAACUCCUUCCUGAUCCUCCUGGUGUUGGAAUUACAAGAAUGCUCCACCAUGCCUGGCUAAUAAUUUAUAUAUUCCGGAGUCAGGGUGUCACUGCAUGAGUCAGACUGGCUACCAACUCACGGCCUUCCUGCUUCUGCCUACGGGGAUUAUAAGUAAUUAGUUUUGCCAUCACAAUAUAUUACAACUUCUUGGAAAGAAUUUCCUA